GAGAAGGCAUUGCUGGGAGCAGAGAUCCUGUACUGCUGCUGUCUGCCCUGACCCUGAUGGUAGGUAGUCAGUCAUCAACUACUGCCAGUAAACGUGCACAAGCUUAAGAGUCCAUAGCUGCUGAAUCCUGCUCAAGAACCAUUUCCAUUUCAAAAUGGAAGCUAGAUCUCCUUUGACCUGGACAGUUUGGCUUCAUCUUGGAUACCUUUUGACUUCAAAGAUUUAAUCGUGAUCACCAGUCAGAUCUCUAUGUCAUGGGCUUCAAAUCACUAGCAGGGAGACUGCUACAAUUUCAGCUGCAACAUUUGAUGUAUAAAUCCCUUAUCCCAUCUGUUCGCUUAAUCCAGGAUUCUGAAACACGUUCAGGGAACAGAAAAGGUUCCUGUCCUGCUGUCUGGGGGAGAGUUUUGGUAGCCUGCCCGGCCAACCCUAGCCCAGAGUACUCCCAGGUGUGGGAACAAGGCUGCCCACCAUCGCAUUGGCAUCAACAUAACUGAUAGCUCUCAACAUGCUGCAUCAGCGAAAGCACACAGACAAAUGAGGCUGGCCAUGGAGUCACACCAGCCUCAGCAGGACCUGUACAGAUCAGCUGUGAUCACCAGGGUUGCACAACCUUCCACAAGUGAGAAGUGGACUCUGGACAGCGAGAUAUGCAUUACAAGAUAAAGCUGUCCUGCUAUGCCACAGGAAAGCAAAGUCAGCGUCUCAUCUGAGAACUGUUUCCGAGAAUGAACACACGUAUGCAGCUAGCAAAAUCUUCCAUUUGCACAGAAAACUUUUAGCAGUUGAAGAGUCUGAGCAUGCCUCAGUGGCCCUGCGCUCCCAGCACACAAAGCCAUCUGCAGCCACCAGUCAUUUGGAGCAGCCUCUCACAUGCUGGCUUUCCUACAGGGAGUUUCUCACAGCAGGAUCAGCCGCCCUUCCAGCACAUCACAGGUGUUCUCCACAUGGCAUGAGCAGCAUUUCUCUCCUCCGGUUCUGGGAGAGGAAAUUCUGCAAACCAAAUGUGAACUCAGGAAAGGGAGGUCCUAGCAAACUUGCUGUGCCAAAGGCAAACACAAAAGGCUCACCUCUGCAGUUGUGCCCGACUGAGCAGUGCCAGCAAAUAGAGGAGCGCGGUGCCAGACUCAUACAGAGUGGUACGGGGUCAAGGCAAGGCUUUUUGCUGGGAACAGGGUGUGUGCGGGCUGAAAAGCACUGAGGAGGAACUGAGGCCAUGGCUGAUCCUGGGGGGUGCGCAGAUCAGCUCUGCAGGCGAGGUUAGUGCCUUUGCUCCUCUGUCAUCACCAGUCCCUGAGAGCAAUCACCACCCACCAACAGUUCCUCAAGAUAAGACCGAGCCAGCUGGGAGAAGAAAUCCUUUGAUAUUUCCCUGCCUCGCUGACUGCGUUUUUCACAGCUCACAUCUCAGAGAGGACCAGCAGAGAUGACUGGGCACGUAAGAAUAACACUGGAGUGGUAUGCAAGGAAGGUGCUAAUCUUCUGCCAUGUGUGUAGGGCCUGGGCAGAAUGAGGCAGAGCGCAGUGCUGGAGUCUCCCUGAUCCUCCCAUGGAUAUCAGCAGCUGCCACACCUGGAGUCUGCAGCAAAGCUCCUUCCUCCAGAGGCCAAGAGCUGAGCCUACUGUUUCCAGCAAGGAAUCUUACGAUCUAUUUAUUCUCAAGAUUAAAUUUCCCUGUCCAGAACAUGUAUCAAAAAAGUCCUCCCAAACACAGAACGUGCUCAG
ensembl:lncRNA